GACGAACGCUGGCGGCGUGCCUAAUACAUGCAAGUCGAGCGGAUGGAAGGAAGCUUGCUUCCUAAAAUCAGCGGCGGACGGGUGAGUAACACGUGGGCAACCUGCCCAUAAGAUCGGGAUAACUUCGGGAAACCGGAGCUAAUACCGGAUAUGAUUAUGUCUCACAUGAGACAUAAUGGAAAGACGGUUUCGGCUGUCACUUAGGGAUGGGCCCGCGGCGCAUUAGCUAGUUGGUGAGGUAACGGCUCACAAAGGCGACGAUGCGUAGCCGACCUGAGAGGGUGAUCGGCCACACUGGGACUGAAACACGGCCCAGACUCCUACGGGAGGCAGCAGUAGGGAAUCUUCCGCAAUGGACGAAAGUCUGACGGAGCAACGCCGCGUGAGUGAAGAAGGUUUUCGGAUCGUAAAACUCUGUUGUUAGGGAAGAACAAGUACCAUAGUAACUGAUGGUACCUUGACGGUACCUAACCAGAAAGCCACGGCUAACUACGUGCCAGCCGCCGCAGUAA
rnacentral:rRNA from 1 species